rnacentral:rRNA from 1 species
UACAGAGGGUGCAAGCGUUGUUCGGAAUUAUUGGGCGUAAAGCGCGUGUAGGCGGCUUUGCAAGUCGGGUGUGAAAGCCCUCAGCUCAACUGAGGAAGUGCGCCCGAAACUGCAGAGCUUGAGUACCGGAGAGGAUGGCGGAAUUCCCCAAGUAGAGGUGAAAUUCGUAGAUAUGGGGAGGAACACCGGUGGCGAAGGCGGCCAUCUGGACGGAUACUGACGCUCAGGCACGAAAGCGUGGGGAGCAAACAGG